rnacentral:rRNA from 1 species
UUCCUACGGGGGGCUGCAGGUAGGAAUAUUGGGCAAUGGGGGAAACCCUGACCCAGCAACGCCGCGUGAAGGAAGAAGGCCUUCGGGUUGUAAACUUCUGUGACAGGGGACGAAAGAAAUGACGGUACCCUGAGAGGAAGCUCCGGCAAACUACGUGCCAGCAGCCGCGGUAAUACGUAGGGAGCGAGCGUUGUCCGGAAUUACUGGGCGUAAAGGGCGCGUAGGCGGCGAUGCAAGUCGCAUGUGAAAUCCCCAGGCUUAACUUGGGGGGUGCAUACGAAACUGCAUGGCUUGAGUAUGGCAGAGGAAAGUGGAAUUCCUAGUGUAGCGGUGAAAUGCGUAGAUAUUAGGAGGAACACCAGUGGCGAAGGCGACUUUCUGGGCCACAACUGACGCUGAGGCGCGAAAGCGUGGGGAGCAAACAGGAUUAGAUACCCUUGUAGUCAC